UACGUAGGGGGCAAGCGUUGUCCGGAAUCAUUGGGCGUAAAGAGCGUGUAGGUGGCCAACUAAGUCAGACGUGAAAUCCCUCGGCUUAACCGGGGAACUGCGUCUGAUACUGGAUGGCUGGAGUGUGGGAGAGGGAUGCGGAAUUCCAGGUGUAGCGGUGAAAUGCGUAGAUAUCUGGAGGAACACCGGUGGCGAAGGCGGCAUCCUGGACCAUUACUGACACUGAAAAGCGAAAGCCAGGGGAGCAAACGGG
rnacentral:rRNA from 1 species